rnacentral:tRNA from 1 species
UUAUAUGACUUUAUUAAAGAUAUUUUGAAAAUAUCUAUAAAGAUUAAUCUUUAAAGUCUA